CUAGUUUAAUUCAUGAAGACCAGACCGGUUUUGUUCCCACUAGACAGGCAAGUGCUAACUCGAGACGUUUGAUCAAUAUUUUAGAUUGGGGAGAGGCACCUUCUAACUACUCAGAAAAAGCCUCUAAGAACAUCCCCAUUUUUAUUAACAAGGCAAAGGAUGGGGAUAUAUGUUUGGGGUCUCGGAGUCCAUGGGGUUUUGUGGAUGGAUGAAAGCAGGAAUUAAAACCAUAUACCAAAAUCUUAUGGCCAUGGUGGUGAGUGCGGAUUUAUGUUCCAAUUGGUUUACUUUUGGGUAAAGGCAUCCGUGAGGGAUGCCUGCUCUCACCAAUAUUAUCCAUAAUAUCCAAGGAGUCCCUAGCAACUAGGAUAAGGUCCAACUCAAAUUUCAGGGGGAUUCCAGUAGCCUCAAAAUAUCUUAAGAUGUGCAUGUAUGCGGAUGACAUGAUAAUAACCUUGACUGACCUCAUCGCUUCCAUCCCACAUUUAAUUAAUCAGAUUGCCCAGUACAGUGAGCUAUCUAAUUAUAAGAUAAAUAUAGAUAAAUCUGUGGUUAUGUUCAAAAAUUGUGAUGCCGAUAGAAAAAAAACCAAAUAUUAGAAAUGCAUAGCUUUGGAGAAGCUGAAGGGAGUUUUGAGUAUUUAGAUGUUACACUCUCAAGUAUUUAGAUGUUACACAAAACAAAUAGAAUUGUUGAAGAGAAUGUCUUGAAACUGAUUAGAUCAACAAACCUAAUGUUAAAAAAGUGGUAUAAUAAAUUUUCGAGUUGUUAGGUUGAAUUAAUAUUAUCAAUGCUUAUAUUCUCCACAUGUGGACAUAUCUUUUUUAAAUGAUCCCUCUAAAAAUUCCAGACAGCUGGUUAGAAAUUGUUCAGAAAAAUAUUGUAUGGAGAGGGACGAGACCACGCAUCAACCUUGACCAGCUGACAAAUAGUCCCAGUCAAGGUGGUAUAAAUUUCACCAAUAUUAAAAAACAUUGUGAGGCUAGUAUAAUCCAUCAUAUCCAAAUUCGAACUGAAUAGGAAGUGAGGGAAACAUUAUUAUUAUUAUUAAACAAAAGCGGUAUGAAUAAACCUGUCUGGCAAGAAAAAGGUUAUCUGAUAUUGAAAGAAGUUAAAAAUAAAAUUAUCUGCCAAAUUAUUCCGGUGUGGUUUAAAAUAAGAAAAAAGAUGAAAAAUAAUGGGAAAAUGUAUGGUUUUAUGGAGUUGGAGAUUCUAGAAUCGCUCAUGGACAAUCUAAAUUUAGACUUGUGAAAAGAAAAGAAAAUUAAAGAUGUAAAUAAUAUUAUGAAAGAGGGAAGAAUUAAAACCUUUGCAGCUCUAAUGUUAGAAUAUAAUUUACCAAAAUCUGAAACAUUUGACUACUUAAGAAUCAAAUCACUUGUGUCUAAAAAUUUUGAAGAGGGAAAAAUUAAAAAUGCCAUCUAUAUGAAACAAAUUUUUGCACCAAUGAAAACAUUAAAACUUUUAGCAAAAUGCUAUAUGUUGACCCGAACGAUGUCACAAAUUAUCUUUAUAAAACAGUUUUAAAAAUGGGAAAGGGAGUGCAAUAUUAACAUAGAUGUUGGUGCUUGGGGUAAAACCCUAGUUAAUAUAAUUUUGAUUGAAACUUAUUUUAAAGUAUGUAACAGGUGGUACUUGGUUCGACCAGAUUAAACAAAAUGGACACUAGUGUCUCAAAUGUAUGCUGGAGAUGCUUAAGGGCGGUUUAGAGCUAUCUUCACAUAUGGUGGAGUUGCCCAAAAGUGAAAACUAUAUGGGGUCAGGUUUAUAAAAUACUUUAUGAUAUGGAUAAGAUUAAAAUUGAAAAAAGCUUGAUAACAGCAUUACUGCAUAUGGGCGGGCCUAAUUUAUCAACAUCAAAUUAAUUUUUGGUAACACAUAGUUUCCUAGCUGUGUAGAUUCUCAUAGCGAGAAAAUGGAAACAACCCAUAGAAAUUAGUUACUAUCAAUGGGCAAAAUAACUAACUUUCCAAUUAAAGAUGGAAUUGGGUGUAUGCUGGGGAAAUAAUUAUUUCGUCAGGAAUAAAAUGAUAAGGGAUAAAUGUCUUGAUAAAAUGUUGGCAUUUAAUAAAAACUGAGUAAAACAUUCACUUUAGAUUUAGAUAAGUCAUAAAGAAAAGACAGGAAAUACUCUUCCCUGCUCAGUCCCUUUUUCCACACAGGUAGAAUGUAUUUUGUAUUAGUAAAUGUUAAGUCUGUGUACGCUAAUG